rnacentral:precursor_RNA from 10 species
GUUGCAGAAUCGGGUCCGUGGCGUGUCAAUUGCGGAUUUCUUGGGGACUUGUUGGUAAUACUAUGAACACGAUAAUGCCCUUCGAAAUCCUCUAUUAUCACCCACGUGUCAACACCUGAACCCGA